UACGAAGGGGGCUAGCGUUGCUCGGAAUCACUGGGCGUAAAGGGUGCGUAGGCGGGUCUUUAAGUCAGGGGUGAAAUCCUGGAGCUCAACUCCAGAACUGCCUUUGAUACUGAGGAUCUUGAGUUCGGGAGAGGUGAGUGGAACUGCGAGUGUAGAGGUGAAAUUCGUAGAUAUUCGCAGGAACACCAGUGGCGAAGGCGGUUGCCUGGAGCUUUGCUGACGCUGAGGCGCGAAAGCGUGGGGAGCGAUCCGG
rnacentral:rRNA from 1 species